rnacentral:rRNA from 1 species
AUUGAACGCUGGCAGCAGGCCUAACACAUGCAAGUCGAGCGGAUGAAGGGAGCUUGCUCCUGGAUUCAGCGGCGGACGGGUGAGUAAUGCCUAGGAAUCUGCCUGGUAGUGGGGGAUAACGUCCGGAAACGGGCGCUAAUACCGCAUACGUCCUGAGGGAGAAAGUGGGGGAUCUUCGGACCUCACGCUAUCAGAUGAGCCUAGGUCGGAUUAGCUAGUUGGUGGGGUAAAGGCCUACCAAGGCGACGAUCCGUAACUGGUCUGAGAGGAUGAUCAGUCACACUGGAACUGAGACACGGUCCAGACUCCUACGGGAGGCAGCAGUGGGGAAUAUUGGACAAAGGGCGAAAGCCUGAUCCAGCCAUGCCGCGUGUGUGAAGAAGGUCUUCGGAUUGUAAAGCACUUUAAGUUGGGAGGAAGGGCAGUAAGUUAAUACCUUGCUGUUUUGACGUUACCAACAGAAUAAGCACCGGCUAACUUCGUG